rnacentral:rRNA from 1 species
CUUAGUAGCGGCGAGUGAACAGGCAAGAGCUCAGAUUUGAAAGCCCUCGGGCAUUGUAUUCUGAAGCCUUGGUCCUGAGAAUCGGUGUUUAAGUCUUCUGGAAAGGAGCGCCAUGGAGGGUGAUAGCCCCGUACGACACCACUCUCAUUGUAGGACUUUGGCAUGGAGUCGAGUUGUUUGGGAAUGCAGCUCAAAUGGGUGGUAUGCUCCAUCUAAAGCUAAAUAUCUGCGAGAGACCGAUAGCGAACAAGUACUGUGAAGGAAAGAUGAAAAGAACUUUGAAAAGAGAGUGAAAAAGUACGUGAAAUUGUUGAAAUGGAAGGAUAGGCCGCUAACCAUGUAGGGUCGUGUUCGAGGGGAAGAUAAAAGCUGAAGAAUGUAGCUCCUCGGAGUGUUAUAGCUUCAGUCCAUAUUCCCUCUCGAGCGCGAGGAUUGAAGAC